rnacentral:rRNA from 1 species
GACGAACGCUGGCGGCGUGCCUAAUACAUGCAAGUCGAACGAAGCUGUUUUAACUGGUGCUUGCACCGACUUAAACAACUGAGUGGCGAACGGGUGAAUAACACGUGGGUAACCUGCCCCAAAGCGGGGGAUAACAUUUGGAAACAGAUGCUAAUACCGCAUAAAAGUCAAAACCACAUGGUUUUGAUUUAAAAGAUGGCCUUUGUGCUAUCACCUCUGGAUGGACCCGCGGCGUAUUAGCUAGUUGGUAAGGUAACGGCUUACCAAGGCAAUGAUACGUAGCCGAACUGAGAGGUUGAUCGGCCACAAUGGGACUGAGACACGGCCCAUACUCCUACGGGAGGCAGCAGUAGGGAAUCUUCCACAAUGGGCGCAAGCCUGAUGGAGCAACACCGCGUGAGUGAAGAAGGGUUUCGGCUCGUAAAACUCUGUUGUUAAAGAAGAACGUAUCUAAGAGUAACUGCUUAGGUAGUGACGGUAUUUAACCAGAAAGCCACGGCUAACUACGUGCCAGCCGCCGCUGUAA